CGACCGAGCGGCGGACGGGUGAGUAAGGCAUCGGAAUCUGCCCUGAUGUGGGGGGAUAACGUAGGGAAACUUACGCUAAUACCGCAUACGACCGAGAGGUGAAAGCGGGGGACCGAAAGGCCUCGCGCAGCAGGAUGAGCCGAUGUCCGAUUAGCUAGUUGGUGGGGUAAAGGCCUACCAAGGCGACGAUCGGUAGCUGGUCUGAGAGGAUGAUCAGCCACACUGGGACUGAGACACGGCCCAGACUCCUACGGGAGGCAGCAGUGGGGAAUAUUGGACAAUGGGGGCAACCCUGAUCCAGCAAUGCCGCGUGUGUGAAGAAGGCCUUCGGGUUGUAAAGCACUUUUAUCGGGAACGAAACACCGUGGGUUAAUACCCUGCGGGACUGACGGUACCCGAGGAAUAAGCACCGGCUAACUCCGUG
rnacentral:rRNA from 1 species